UAGCAAUAUUGUGGAAAGUCUAGUGGCGAACGGGUGCGUAACACGUGGGCAAUCUGCCUUAAAGUGGGGGAUAGCUCGGCGAAAGCCGAAUUAAUACCGCAUGUGGCUAAGGGAGACAUCUCUCUGACGCUAAAGGUGGCGCAAGCUACCGCUUUUUGAGGAGCCCGCGGCCUAUCAGCUAGUUGGUGUGGUAACGGCUCACCAAGGCUUUGACGGGUAGCUGGUCUGAGAGGACGACCAGUCACACUGGAACUGAGACACGGUCCAGACACCUACGGGUGGCAGCAGUCGAGAAUUUUUGACAAUGGGGGAAACCCUGAUCGAGCGACGCCGCGUGGAGGAUGAAGGUCUUCGGGUUGUAAACUCCUGUCAUUUGGGAACAAGUCGUAUGUAUUAACUGUACAUGCAUUGAUAGUACCAGAAGAGGAAGAGACGGCUAACUCUGUGCCAGCAGCCGCGGUAAUACAGAGGUCCCAAGCGUUGUUCGGAUUCAUUGGGCGUAAAGGGUGCGUAGGUGGCGUCGUAAGUCAGGUGUGAAAUCUCGGAGCUUAACUCCGAAACUGCACUCGAUACUGCUCUGCUUGAGGACUGGAGAGGAGAUUGGAAUUCUCGGUGUAGCA
rnacentral:rRNA from 1 species